GCGGGCGUAGCUCAGCGGUAGAGCAUCAGCUUCCCAAGCUGAGGGUCGCGGGUUCGACCCCCGUCGCCCGCUCCA
rnacentral:tRNA from 1 species